UUUAACUUUCCUUGUAUCCGAAGCAUUCGUCUUAAUCUGCAAUGUUUUAUCAUGAUAUAGCAAGGGUGAGCAUGAAAGUUGCCCAGCAAGUUUAAAUACAAUUUAAGGAUAUAUCAUGAUUGAAAGAUUUAGAAUAAUAAGCUGGCUAUAAUUCACAAUGUAGUUGUGAAUUAGCAUGAACAAACUUUUGACUGAACAAGUAUUACAUAUGAACAAUAUAUAUCUGGACCAACUGGUAAUGAAGGUGAUCAGCCUUUCAUACCUGACUUAUACAUACAAGAUGUACAGAGUACAAUUCUACAUGGCAAUCAGCAAUGAUUAACCAUAAGCAUAUCUGAAUAAAACACUCUUAGUAGAGUUAAGUAGAACUUGCCUGAACCGUUGAUUACCGAUACGAAAUAUAACUUAGCUUAUCCGAAGACCUAAUACAGAUAAU
rnacentral:lncRNA from 1 species